UCUUAAAGACAAUGGGGAAUAUUGUUUCUAGAUACUGAUGACAAUUCUAAUAAUGGGAGUUGUGAAAUUAUUUUUAGUGGUCGUUCUGAUUCUUGGGAACAUGAGUGUUUCUUGUUUCCCUUUUGGUGAGUUAGAUGGAAUCUCUCUGAAGGGACUUCAAGUGAAUUUGGACAAUGGAGGGUCCAAAGGUUCCGCUGCCACGGCUACAUCUGUCCCUCCUGCCCCAACCAGUCAUGCUGCUUCUGUCGCCACGUCCGGGAUGUCUAAUGACUAUGUUGACCAUCACUUUGAAUGUCGUCACUGUUACAUGCCAGGCUGCCACAGGCCGUACUGCCAUAGAUGCAACUGGCAUCUCUGCUCCAAAUGGAUCCAGUGACAUGACUCCAGUAGUAACCCUAACCAUGACUGACACUCCUGCCACCUGCUGAACUUCGGAUGUGACUUGUCCACAUAUUUUGAGCCUUCUGUGUCUGAGCAUGGCCAUUGAACUCUUGCAUCAGAUGUCUUCAAUUGAUCACUGUCUGGAGAAACACAUGGUGGUCAAGAUUCACUUAUGGUUUCUGACUAGGUUUGCCUGUCUUUCACCCCUCAAAUAAAGUGUUGAUGUCAUAACUUGUUUCUUCAGUACUGAUUAAAAGGACAGUUGUUUAUUUCAUGAAA